rnacentral:rRNA from 1 species
UUUUUUCCGUAGGGUAACUUGCGGAGGGAUCAGGAAAAAAAUUGAGGCGGGCUGGAUCUCUCGGGGUUACAGCCUUGCUGAAUUAUUCACCCUUGUCUUAUGCGUACUUCUUGUUUCCUUGGUGGGUUCGCCCACCACUAGGACAAACAUAAACCUUUUGUAAUUGCAAUCAGCGUCAGUAACAAAUUAAUAAUUACAACUUUCAACAACGGAUCUCUUGGUUCUGGCAUCGAUGAAGAACGCAGCGAAAUGCGAUAAGUAGUGUGAAUUGCAGAAUUCAGUGAAUCAUCGAAUCUUUGAACGCACAUUGCGCCCUUUGGUAUUCCAAAGGGCAUGCCUGUUCAAGCGUCAUUUGUACCCUCAAGCUUUGCUUGGUGUUGGGCGUCUUGUCUCUAGCUUUGCUGGAGACUCGCCUUAAAGUAAUUGGCAGCCGGCCUACUGGUUUCGGAGCGCAGCACAAGUCGCACUCUCUAUCAGCAAAGGUCUAGCAUCCAUUAAGCCUUUCACCAACGUUGGACCUCGGAUCAAGUAGGGAAACCCGCUGAACUUAAGCAUAUCAUAAGCGGGAAGGAAAAAC